rnacentral:sRNA from 1 species
CGUCGCUGUCGACUCUUAACAGGGCCGACAGACCAGAGUUCCCAGGCUCUGGACCGAAGAAUAGAUAGCGCUGGCGCCCCAACUUAGGCACCAGCCCAACAAGAAAUUUCGGAUGUACGCGCAUCUCAGGGUGAGAUGUGAAAUACC